UUUUUUUUUUUUUUUUUAACUAUACAUUCUCCAAAAAAUUACUAUUCCUCUCAUUAUAAUAUGAAAUAAUAGAGGCCAAACGGGACUUAAAUAAACAAUCUCGUCUUGGGCUUGGAAUUAGGUCAAUUCACCCACUAGGCCCAUAUCCAUUUCUCUAUAUAUGUGAAACUAUUUCACAUAGGUAUGUUUCUAACCCUAACCAAAAUUCCCUCUCCUAUCUCUUGCACCCAUUUCUUUUUCGUCCGACCGCUGACAGUUGAUUUGAUCGUCGGAAUGCAAACGAUCAUCGAGCCUUUUUCCCAAUCGACGGUCUUUGCCUCCUAAUGGUGUUCGAGUGCGCAUGUGACGCCUACGUGGAAAGAAGAUAGCCGAGAUUCUGUUGGCUCAUUCUUUGAGGUCAAAGAAAGAUCACAAUGAUCUCUUCUUGACACUUCAUUUGGUGGCAUGGGCAAAUGCAAAUGUAAAACUAAAGGAAAAGAAUAGAACUCUUACUUGGCUGCUGUCUUGAAAUCGGGAUCCCAGAGGCCAGAAUCAUCAAGUGCUAAACCUGCAACUAUUGGCUCUCCAAUGACCCUUUGUCCUGUAUGUAAUAUUAUGAAAAUAAAUAAAUAAACAUCAGAUUAGUAUUAAAUUCAAGGAAUUCAUGCCAGUUCAAUUUGUUGUCUCUUGAUGCUUCAAAAUUCAACGGGCACAGUGUCACAACACUUGAAAGGCUGUCCAAAGCUAAAGAUGAACGAAGAAUGUAAGGAAAGUUCUUGACGUAUACUCUCUUUAGGGGCUUAGUAUAUAGUUAACUUAAACAGAGAACCUAAAGGCACAUCAGAAGAAAAUAAUUUAGUUGAAGACGAUAGAAACUUAACAGGUUUGGAAUAGAGGGAAGUAGCUAGCUUUAAAAAACGAGGGAAUUUUGUAGAAAUUAUGGUAUUGUACAGCAGCUUCUUGAGAAUUCUGAGCAACAAAUAAUUGUAAAAAUUUAAGGGCUUCAAACCUGAUUUUCGAGCUCUAGCUAUUUCUUCAACUGCAUCGAUGCUCAUGACAUGAACAACAUACAGAGGAGUGUUCACGAAACGAGCUAAGUGAAUAGCUCGACCAGUCGCCUCUCCCUCUAUCUGCAUGAAUAUUUGACAGAAUUAAAAGCUUAAUAGACGCAAGAUGUCUAAGAAAACAUUAAUAACUUUCAAAAAGUAGGGCCACAAUUCCAAUCGCAGCUGCUACAGAAAAAUGGAAGGGCAAUCUGGAUUUAA
rnacentral:lncRNA from 1 species